rnacentral:rRNA from 1 species
GACAGAGGGUGCAAACGUUGUUCGGAAUUACUGGGCGUAAAGGGCUUGUAGGUGGCCAACUAAGUCAGACGUGAAAUCCCUCGGCUUAACCGGGGAACUGCGUCUGAUACUGGAUGGCUUGAGUGUGGGAGAGGGAUGCGGAAUUCCAGGUGUAGCGGUGAAAUGCGUAGAUAUCUGGAGGAACACCGGUGGCGAAGGCGGCAUCCUGGACCAUUACUGACACAUGAAAAGCGAAAGACCAGGGGGAGCAAACGGG